rnacentral:rRNA from 1 species
GAUGAACGCUAGCUACAGGCUUAACACAUGCAAGUCGAGGGGCAGCAUGGGAGUUGCUUGCAACUCUUGAUGGCGACCGGCGCACGGGUGAGUAACGCGUAUCCAACCUUCCCCCUGGUAGGGCAUAGCCCGUAGAAAUGCGGAUUAACACCCUAUGUUGUGCAUUGAGGACAUCUGAGGAGCACUAAAGUUUGACGCCAUGGGAUGGGGAUGCGUCCGAUUAGCUUGACGGCGGGGUAACGGCCCACCGUGGCUACGAUCGGUAGGGGUUCUGAGAGGAAGGUCCCCCACACUGGAACUGAGACACGGUCCAGACUCC